rnacentral:rRNA from 1 species
CCUACGGGAUGCUGCAGUGAGGCAUAUUGGUCAAUGGCCGGAAGGCUGAACCAGCCAUGCCGCGUGAAGGUCAAUGCCCUAUGGGCGGUAAACUUCUUUUGUGCGGGAGCAAUAAUGGUCACGUGUGGCCAGACGCGAGUACCGUACGAAUAAGCAUCGGCUAACUCCGUGCCAGCAGCCGCGUGAAUACGGGGGAUGCAAGAGUUAUCCGGAUUUAUUGGGGUUAAAGGGUGCGUAGGCUGUGAGGUAAGUCCGCGGUGAAAUGCACCCGCGCAACGGGGUUAAGUGCCAUGGAUACUGUCUUGACUGAAUGCGGAUGGCGUGGGAGGAAGGUGUGGGGUAGCGGGGAAAUGCA